UACAGAGGCCCAUAGCGUUGUUCGGAUUUACUGGGCGUAAAGGGCGCGUAGGCGGCGAGGCGUGUCGGAUGUGAAAUCUCCGGGCUCAACCCGGAAAGUGCGUCCGAAACUACCUCGCUUCGAGUCUGGGAGGGGGAAUCGGAAUACAGGGUGUAGCGGUGAAAUGCGUUGAUAUCCUGUAGAACACCGGAGGCGAAGGCGGAUUCCUUGAACAGUACUGACGCUGAGGCGCGAAAGUCGGGGGAGCAAA
rnacentral:rRNA from 1 species